CGGCCCCCAGCAGUGGAGGCACGGAAUCCUAACCACUGGACUGCCAGGGAAUUCCCAUCAUUUUCUCUUUUUUAAAAGGUGUUGCCCCAGAGUCUGUGGAAAAAGCCGUGUUAACAAACCUUCAUCAUGUCCUGUGAUGCUCCGGUUUCCGAGGUGGGCCGUGGGAUGUCAGCAGUGUGGUACCGCCACGAGCCUUCCACAGAGUUGUCUUUUGGCGCUGUGCCCAAGAUCUCCGACCACGACACUUAGAGCCUCAGUGUUCUCAGCUGUAAAAUGGCUCUAUGACCAGAGCUCACUUCUCAGCUUCAUCUCGGGGAUCCUUGAAAGAAGAUAUAUUCAACCUCAGCGCAACGCUUAGCACGGUUUUAACAAAUGCUGGGCAAACGCUCUGUAUCUAGGUUUGUUUUAUGGGAAAGCACUGGAAAUGUACUUCAGAAAAUAUUAACAGUUAUUAGCUUUGGACGGAGGAUUGUGGGUGAUCUUAAGUUAAAAAUUAUUAUUAUUUUGCAUUUCUUUUUUUUUCUAACUCCCCUGCACUCAUGAUUUGUGUUUUAUAAAGGGGAAAAUAAAAACGAGU